CACAGUUAGUGUGGCUGUACAGCUGACACUGCCAUACUCAUUGGAAGCUUUGCAUGUAUACUCGCCGCAGUCAACCACCUGGGUUCUCAGGAUUUCAAGGCUGGAGAUAUACUUUGAAGAUCGAAUAGAACACUUGUCACUCUCAUAAAUUUCUCGGCCAGCUUUAAACCACUGGAACCGGACAUUGGGAGCACUUUGGAUCUCACAGCAUAUAAGCAUUAGAAGACAGGACUCAAGUGUCUGCUGGCUGUAAAAAUACUGGAGAAACUCAUCUAUAGCAUGCAGAAUACAUAUUCAGUCAUUGUGUACAAUGCAGCUGUAUAGUCCUUGGUCUACCAGCUGAACAUUACAUAUGACUCAGGUUGGCUGUGCUUGAUACUUGGCCUACAGCAUUACUAGCAACAAACGUCUUCUUCCUUUGGUGAACUGAAUGAGGCACCAGGAUACACAUGAACUGCCACUGGACAUGAACUGCACACAAUAAGUGAGUUAACAGAAACCCGGCAUUGAAAACGGGCUGGCUGCCCUUCAGAAGUGACAGUGUCCUGAAGCGGGGUGAUGAUGGCAGGUGGAUAAACAGGCAUUUCCUGAUCAGGAGACACAACUUCUGGAACUAAAGAAAGAAACCACAAGAUUUGUCAUGAUUAAGUCACCAUAGAGACCUCACAGAAGGGAGCAUGACAUCAAUUCCAGAGUGGGACAGCUCAACCUCAAACACCACAUUUUGAGUUUCUGUACAGGUUGUCUUUUUCCCGUCGAUGACAAAGCUGUAUUCUCCCUGGUCCUCCUUGGUUACAUCCUUGACCGUGAGGUUCUGACGUCCACGACGAGAUGUAAUUGUAUAUUUGCCAUUGGAUUUAAGCUCCACAUCAUUAUGAUACCAUUUUCCUUCUAUAUUUUCUGGGGAUACAAUGCACUCUAAUUCUCCUGAAUAUGAUUCUGGAACUUCUAUGUCCUGAAGUUCUUUCACAAACUCAACAACUGCACCUGAAGUGUAUAACAGAAAGAUAAAUCAAUUUUUUUGGAGAGGUAUGCAUCUAGACUUAGGAUAGAGAUGAUGUCUUGUAUGUCUUUUAUCUCCCCCAUACUAUCAGGUGUAUUCUUAAUAUCUACCCGCUGAUGGGCUGAGAGAUAAAUUUUCAAUAAGAAGCAGUUAUUUUAUUUUAAUUUUUAAAUAUUUUUGAAAGUAAAGAAUUAUGCUUCAAUAAAAAACUUAAAAGCUAAAAAUCAAGAUAAUACUACUUUAAAAAAUCCAAAUGGUCAAAUUGUUAACAUUCUUAAUUACG
rnacentral:lncRNA from 1 species